rnacentral:snRNA from 1 species
AUACUUACCUGGACGGGGUCAAUCAGUGAUCGGAAAGACUCAUGGCCUAGAGCAGUGACCUCCAUUGCACUUGGGAGGGGUGCUGCUUUAAGGUCUCCCCAAGAGGGAGAGCUACGUCAUAAUUUGUGGCAGUGGGGGCUUGCGUUCGCGCAGCCCCUAU